GGUUCCGUAGCUCAGUUGGUUAGAGCAGAUGACUCAUAAUCAUCGGGUCACUGGUUCGAGUCCAGUCGGGACCACCA
rnacentral:tRNA from 2 species